rnacentral:rRNA from 1 species
GAUGAACGCUGGCGGCGUGCCUAAUACAUGCAAGUCGAGCGAACAGACGAGGAGCUUGCUCCUCUGACGUUGGCGGCGGACGGGUGAGUAACACGUGGAUAACCUACCUAUAAGACUGGGAUAACUUCGGGAAACCGGAGCUAAUACCGGAUAAUAUAUUGAACCGCAUGGUUCAAUAGUGAAAGACGGUUUUGCUGUCACUUAUAGAUGGAUCCGCGCCGCAUUAGCUAGUUGGUAAGGUAACGGCUUACCAAGGCAACGAUGCGUAGCCGACCUGAGAGGGUGAUCAGCCACACUGGAACUGAGACACGGUCCAGACUCCUACGGGAGGCAGCAGUAGGGAAUCUUCCGCAAUGGGCGAAAGCUUGACGGAGCAACGCCGCGUGAGUGAUGAAGGUCUUCGGAUCGUAAAACUCUGUUAUUAGGGAAGAACAAAUGUGUAAGUAACUAUGCACGUCUUGACGGUACCUAAUCAGAAAGCCACGGCUAACUACGUG